GAUGAACGCUGGCGGCGUGCCUAAUACAUGCAAGUCGAGCGAACGGAUGAGAAGCUUGCUUCUCUGAUGUUAGCGGCGGACGGGUGAGUAACACGUGGAUAACCUACCUAUAAGACUGGGAUAACUUCGGGAAACCGGAGCUAAUACCGGAUAAUAUUUUGAACCGCAUGGUUCAAAAGUGAAAGACGGUCUUGCUGUCACUUAUAGAUGGAUCCGCGCUGCAUUAGCUAGUUGGUAAGGUAACGGCUUAUCAAGGCAACGAGGCAUAGCCGACCUGAGAGGGUGAUAGGCCACACUGGAACUGAGACACGGUCCAGACUCCUACGGGAGGCAGCAGUAGGGAAUCUUCCGCAAUGGGCGAAAGCCUGACGGAGCAACGCCGCGUGAGUGAUGAAGGUCUUCGGAUCGUAAAACUCUGUUAUUAGGGAAGAACAUAUGUGUAAGUAACUGUGCAGAUCGUGACGGUACCUAAUCAGAAAGCCACGGCUAACUACGUG
rnacentral:rRNA from 1 species